rnacentral:lncRNA from 1 species
CGGAUACCUUGGGUCGGUUUCGCUUAGUAGCUGAGCAGGCUUGAAAGGUCCCUUAAGCUGUGUUCUCUGUCCUGCCGCUGGAUGCUGUGGAGGGUGCUCAGGCAAGCUCCGAAGUUGCGGCAUGGAUGCAUUGACCUAUGAUGAUGUGUAUGUGAACUUCACUCGAGAAGAAUGGGCUUUGCUGAAUCCUUCACAGAAGAGUCUCUACAAAGAUGUGAUGUUGGAGACCUACAGGAACCUCAAUGCUGUAGGCUACAAUUGGGAAGACCAUAAUAUUGAAGAACAUUGUCAAAGUUCCAGAAGACAUGGAAGGAAUGAAAGAAGUUUUACUGGAGAGAAUCCCUAUGAAGGCAUUCAGUGCAGUGAAGCCUUUGUUCAUCAUAGUAGUUUCCGAAUUUGGAAAAUAACACACACUGGAGAGAAACGCUACAAAUGCAAUCAAUGUGGUAAAGCCUAUGCAGGACCCCAUACUCUCCAAAUACAUGAAAGAACACAUAGUGGAGAGAAACCGUAUGAAUGUAAGCAAUGUAGUAAAUCCUUUGCUUCUCAUGGUCAACUUCGAAAACAUGAAAGAAUUCAUACUCGAGGGAAAUCUUACAAAUGUAAUCAAUGUUCUAAAGCCUUUGUAUACCCUGGUAAUCUUCGAAUGCAUAAAAGAAUGCAUACUGAACACAAACCCUAUGAAUGUAAUCAAUGUAGUAAAUCCUUUGCUUGUCCUGGUCAACUUCGAAUGCAUGAAAGAAUUCAUACUGAAGAGAAACCCUAUGAAUGUAA